ACUCAAAUGAAUAGACGGGGGCCCGCACAAGCGGUGGAGCAUGUGGAUUAAUUCGACGCAACGCGAAGAACCUUACCAAGGCUUGACAUCCCAUUGCAACUCUUAGAGAUAAGAGCCUCCUUCGGGACAAUGGAGACAGGUGGUGCAUGGUUGUCGUCAGCUCGUGUCGUGAGAUGUUGGGUUAAGUCCCGCAACGAGCGCAACCCCUAUGUUUAGUAGCCAUCAAGUAAAGUUGGGCACACUAGAGAGACUGCCGUGGAGAACACGGAGGAAGGUGGGGACGACGUCAAAUCAUCAUGCCCCUUAUGUCUUGGGCUUCACACGUGCUACAAUGGAUGAGACAAAGUGACGCAAGACUGCGAAGUGGAGCAAAUCACGAAAAGCAUCCUCAGUUCGGAUUGCAGGCUGCAACUCGCCUGCAUGAAGUUGGAAUCGCUAGUAAUCGCGAAUCAGCAUGUCGCGGUGAAUACGUUCCCGGGCCUUGCACACACCGCCCGU
rnacentral:rRNA from 1 species